rnacentral:piRNA from 1 species
AUGUCACUGCUGACAGCGAGGGUUGUGG